UGGUGGCGUUGAAUGUGGAUAUUGUGUGAUGCGGUACAUGAAAGAGAUAGUCUUAGAUGAAUAUCCACAAUUGGAGAGGAAGUUUGCAGCAUCAAAAAAUAAAUAGUAUUACAAUCAAUCUCAGUAUGAUGAAGUCAGAAGUGAAUGGAGCAAAUUCGUCUAUUUCUAUGUGGGUGCCUAAGUGUAGGAUAUGAUAUAAAUUUUAGAUUGUAUUUAGAGAUUUAUGGAUACAAAAGUUUUUGGGUUAUGGUUAAA